GGAGGGGUGUCCGAGUGGCUUAAGGAGCACGCUUGGAAAGCGUGUGUACGUUAAACACGUACCGUGGGUUCGAAUCCCACUUCCUCCGACA
rnacentral:tRNA from 1 species